UGGGGAAUAUUGCACAAUGGAGGAAACUCUGAUGCAGCAACGCCGCGUGAAGGAAGAAGGUCUUCGGAUUGUAAACUUUUGUCUUUGGGGAAGAUAAUGACGGUACCCAAGGAGGAAGCCACGGCUAACUACGUGCCAGCAGCCGCGGUAAUACGUAGGUGGCAAGCGUUGUCCGGAAUUACUGGGUGUAAAGGGUGCGUAGGCGGGCUGUCAAGUCAGAUGUGAAAUGCCGGAGCUUAACUCCGGAGCUGCAUUUGAAACUGAUGGUCUUGAGUGAAGUAGAGGCAAGCGGAAUUCCCAGUGUAGCGGUGAAAUGCGUAGAUAUUGGGAGGAACACCAGUGGCGAAGGCGGCUUGCUGGGCUUUAACUGACGCUGAGGCACGAAAGCAUGGGGAGCAAACA
rnacentral:rRNA from 1 species